rnacentral:rRNA from 1 species
AGCGAACGCUGGCGGCAGGCCUAACACAUGCAAGUCGAACGAACCCUUCGGGGUUAGUGGCGGACGGGUGAGUAACACGUGGGAACGUGCCUUUAGGUUCGGAAUAACUCAGGGAAACUUGUGCUAAUACCGAAUGUGCCCUUCGGGGGAAAGAUUUAUCGCCUUUAGAGCGGCCCGCGUCUGAUUAGCUAGUUGGUGAGGUAAUGGCUCACCAAGGCUACGAUCAGUAGCUGGUCUGAGAGGAUGACCGGCCACUUUGGGACUGAGACACGGCCCAAACUCCUACGGGAGGCAGCAGUGGGGAAUCUUGCGCAAUGGGCGAAAGCCUGACGCAGCCAUGCCGCGUGGAUGAUGAAGGUCUUAGGAUUGUAAAAUCCUUUCACCGGUGAAGAUAAUGACUGUAGCCGGAGAAGAAGCCCCGGCUAACUUCGUGCCAGCAGCCGCCGUAAUAC